rnacentral:rRNA from 1 species
ACUCCUACGGGAGGCAGCAGUGGGGAAUAUUGCACAAUGGGCGCAAGCCUGAUGCAGCCAUGCCGCGUGUAUGAAGAAGGCCUUCGGGUUGUAAAGUACUUUCAGCAGUGAGGAAGGUGGAUAUGUUAAUAGACAUAUUCCAUUUGAUCGUUAGCUGCAGAAGAAGCACCGGCUAACUCCGUGCCAGCAGCCGCGGUAAUACGGAGGGUGCGAGCGUUAAU